rnacentral:piRNA from 1 species
UGCAGCAAGAAAGACCUGAGGCAGGUGCAGG